ensembl:ncRNA C18D1.17 ncRNA
UGCUGAAAUUGAAAUUGAAAUUGAAAUUGAAAUCGAAAAAUAUGGAAAUUUUCCACUUUUUCCUGCUUCUC